UACAGAGGGUGCGAGCGUUAAUCGGAAUUACUGGGCGUAAAGCGCACGUAGGCGGCUUGGUAUGUCGGGUGUGAAAUCCCCGGGCUCAACCUGGGAACUGCAUCCGAAACUGCCUUGCUCGAGUAUGGGAGAGGGAAGUGGAAUUUCCGGUGUAGCGGUGAAAUGCGUAGAUAUCGGAAGGAACAUCAGUGGCGAAGGCGGAUCUCUGGGCCUUACCUGACGCUGAGGAGCGAAAGCAUGGGGAGCAAACAGG
rnacentral:rRNA from 1 species